UCCAUGGGUAGUGUUAUGAGCCUAGUGAUAGUUUGACAAGGCUUUGGUAGAGGUUGUUGUGUUGGUGUUUCCAUGGGUAGUGUUAUGAGCCUAGUGAUAGUUUGACAAGGCUUUGGUAGAGGUUGUUGUGUUAGUGUUUCCAUGGGUAGUGUUAUGAGCCUAGUGAUAGUUUGACAAGGCUUUGGUGGAGGUUGUUGUGUUAGUGUUUCCAUGGGUAGUGUUAUGAGCCUAGUGAUAGUUUGACAAGGCUUUGGUAGAGGUUGUUGUGUUAGUGUUUCCAUGGGUAGUGUUAUGAGCCUAGUGAUAGUUUGACAAGGCUUUGGUAGAGGUUGUUGUGUUAGUGUUUCCAUGGGUAGUGUUAUGAGCCUAGUGAUAGUUUGACAAGGCUUUGGUGGAGGUUGUUGUGUUAGUGUUUCCAUGGGUAGUGUUAUGAGCCUGGUGAUAGUUUGACAAGGCUUUGGUGGAGGUUGUUGUGUUAGUGUUUCCAUGGGUAGUGUUAUGAGCCUGGUGAUAGUUUGACAAGGCUUUGGUAGAGGUUGUUGUGUUAGUGUUUCCAUGGGUAGUGUUAUGAGCCUAGUGAUAGUUUGACAAGGCUUUGGUAGAGGUUGUUGUGUUAGUGUUUCCAUGGGUAGUGUUAUGAGCCUGGUGAUAGUUUGACAAGGCUUUGGUAGAGGUUGUUGUGUUAGUGUUUCCAUGGGUAGUGUUAUGAGCCUAGUGAUAGUUUGACAAGGCUUUGGUAGAGGUUGUUGUGAUAGUGUUUCCAUGGGUAGUGUUAUGAGCCUAGUGAUAGUUUGACAAGGCUUUGGUAGAGGUUGUUGUGUUAGUGUUUCCAUGGGUAGUGUUAUGAGCCUGG